UGGAAUCUCAAUUUUAUAAGA
rnacentral:piRNA from 1 species